rnacentral:misc_RNA from 1 species
GAUGAAGAACGUAGCGAACUGCGAUAAGUAAUGUGAAUUGCAGAAUUCAGUGAAUCAUCGAGUCUUUGAACGCACAUUGCGCCCCCUGGUAUUCCGGGGGGCAUGCCUGUCCGAGCGUCAUUGCUGCCCUCAAGCACGGCUUGUGUGUUGGGCUCCGUCCCCCCGGGGACGGGUCCGAAAGGCAGCGGCGGCACCGAGUCCGGUCCUCGAGCGUAUGGGGCUUUGUCACCCGCUCUGUAGGCCCGGCCGGCGCCAGCCGACAACCAAUCAUCCUUUUUUCAGGUUGACCUCGGAUCAGGUAGGGAUACCCGCUGAACUUAAGCAUAUCAAUAAGCGGAGGA